rnacentral:misc_RNA from 1 species
ACAACAACAACAACUACAACAAGUACAAGCACCACCAUCAACAACAACCAGAACAACAAGAAAAUCAUCAACGGCGUCAAUUGCGACGAUGGCAGCCAUAAAUACGGUACCAAAGAGCAUACACCUGCCUUUGACAAGUCUCAGCAGCGCGCCGCGCGUGUUGAUGUGCAACGCCUCUGUGGGCUCUGAGGGAUCCGUAACGUUGCAACUGAGAGAUGCUAGCGCCUUGGAGGCAGCAACAGCAGCAACAGCAACAGCAACAGCAACAGCGAGCACGAAAUCUGCCACAUCAACAGGGGGGAAUGGCGUUACAACGCUUGCCACGUCCUCAACGUCGGCACUAGAGAAUGCUUUGACGAUCGGGUAUCCGGAUCCGGAAAUGCUGGCAGAUGUCUUGGGCAGCAUACAGACAGCCUCUCUCAAGAACAACCACACAAUCACAGCCACGACUUUAAGCAAUAGCUCAACGAAAUCGGCUAAUGGCAAUCAUCUGAAUAAUCCCAACAAGAUAACCAUAACUAGGCGCAGUGUGCAGUCCGUCAGCACCUCCACGAACACAACCACAAUCGGUGGCAGUCAGAGCCAGACCCAGAGCCACAGCCACAGUCACAGCAAGACAAAUACCAGCUACAUUAAGAACUGUCUGAUCCGCAGCAGCAGCUGCAGCAACACGGUCACCAAUGUCACGACGCUGGCGCAGAUUAUGAGCAACAGCAGCACCAGCAGCGCGUCCAGUCUCCUCAAUCAGCACAACAACAACAGCAACUGCAGCAACAGCAGCAACUUCAGCACCGCCUCCUCCGUGGGCAGCAGCAUCAGCAUCGGCAGCAGCAGCAACAGCAGCAACAGCAGCAGCAACAGCAACAGCAACGACAGCAACAGCAGCACCGGCGGCGGUCACAGCCUGUCCUUCAAGAGCAACGGUAGACAUGUUCCUGCCAACAGUGGGUCAGUGGGAGGUGCAGGCACAGUAGCCGCAAGCACUAAUACCCCUGGCAUUGGUGGCAUCAUCAGCAUCGAAGCACCGCGCAAGAACCGCCCCAAGCUAUCCUCGCCAACGCGACACGGACCACAGCAGUGUCAGAUUUGUUGCAAGAUCUUUGGAAAUGCCUCGGCGCUGGCCAAGCACAAACUGACGCACAGCGACGAACGGAAAUAUAUUUGUGUGCUCUGCUCGAAGGCAUUCAAGCGGCAAGAUCACUUAAACGGACACAUGAUGACUCAUCGGAACAAGAAGCCUUACGAAUGUAAGGCGGACGGAUGCGGCAAGUCCUACUGCGAUGCCCGCUCCCUGCGCAGGCACUCGGAGAACCAUCAUGCGGGGGCAGUCACUCCCACCACCAGUCAAUCGCUCUCCCCCACAGCCAGCUCCAGCGGAGCGAGCAUUAGCAGCAGCGUCGGAGUGGCCACCAGUUCGCUGAGCCUCUCGCCGUCUACGGCCAGCGGGGAUGCGAGCUCCCCGGACGGUGCCACGUGCAUACGAACGUACAUUUCCACGGGCAGCUCCUUGGUGGAUGCCGCCACGGGUAUCGCUCUCUCGGACGAACAGAUCAAGGCCAUGAACUUGCCCAUCAAGACGGGCAUGACCCUGCUGUCGCCCACCACCUCGACAUCCUCCAAUGGAUCCUCCACGGCCUCGUCGUCGUCGCUGUCGUCCUCCCCGUCGACCAUCGCGACGUCGGUGGGCAAUGGCACCGUGAUAGCCAGCUCCCCCACCAUCACGCUCAGCGAUGGCAUCAGCCUCGAGGGCGAGGGCCUGACCCGGGAGCAGCUCGAUCUCAUCAGCAAGAUUAUGCAACAGACGAAGCAGACGAGCGCCCAGGUGACCGUCUCCUCGCCCACCAGCGUCAGCUCCUACAAAAUCAACACGAACUCGGCCCCGUCAUCGUCCAGGCCCCGUACCUGGAACAUGCAAUUGCUCAACAGCGCCCAAAAUGUGACGCUUCAUGUGGAAGAUGGCACCGAUCUGGUGGCUUCUUCAGCGAACUCCCCCGUAGAAAUCAAGGAGGAAGACGUCGGCCAGCAGCAGCAACUUGUGGCCACCGCCAAUCCCCACCUGCUCGUGAAGCUCGACAAGCCGGUCGAGUGCAAUCUCUGUCACCGUAAGUUCAAAAACAUACCCGCCCUCAAUGGGCACAUGCGUCUGCACGGCGGCUACUUCAAGAAGGAUCCGGAAACGAAGCGCAGCGAGAAGAAGGACUCUAGCGGCCCCCCCCUGCAGACGGCCAGCAUCGGAGUGCGUGCCCUCAUCGAGGAGAAGAUCAUCAGCAAGCGCAAGGACAUGAACAAGGGCGCCUUCGUGGUACCCGCACCACCGCACAGCAGCAGCAACAGCAGCAGCAGCACCACCACCACCCUUCGACGAUCGAUCAGCGACCUGGAGAGCUUCCUGAAUCCGAAGAGCAGCUCUAGUGCAUUCACCCAAACGCUCUCCACCAGCACGGCCACCACCACAGCGGUGCUGCCGGCGGCCACAACAAUCAAGAGCAGCAACGGGCUCAGCAUACAGCAGAUCGGACUGCCCCAGAGCAUCGAGAUCUUCAGUGGGGGCCAGAAGCAGUCGAAGACCCUCAGUCUUGGCAGCGGCACCAAUACGAUCACAAUCACCACCAAUAACGUGCCCACCACCACGACGAUGAGUGCGCUGACCGCUCUGAAGGCAGGCGGCACCAUUAGCGGCAUAUCCGCAGCCACCAACACGGAUCCCAAGGACUCCACCCUGAUCGAGCUGCUGAAGCGCGGCACUCGCAUUGCCGUCACCUCCAAGAAGGCCCAGUCGCACACAACCCACAGCGGCACGAAUGUGCUGAUGACUACCCAAAAUAGCACAGGAUCGGGCCUGGGAGCUAUCACAGAGCUGACCACCAUCGGGGGGAGCAAUCUCCAGACGAUCGGCCGGCAGAUCAUCACCAACAACAAUCGCACGGUGAUCAUACCUUCCGAUGUCCAGGUGGUGGCCACCAAGAGCAAGCUGAGCAGCCUGUCCAGUCUCACGGGAAGUCUGAUGAAGACCAGCAGCAGCGUGAAUACAUCCUGUUCGAGCGGCAGCAUCUCCUUGGCCGAUGACACGGCCCUCUCGCUGAACAUCGCCCCCAGUCAGGAGGGGCACGUUGGCAGCGGGACCGGGGGAGUGAUCACGAGCGGAGGAGGCGGAGUGUACACCGUUACCUAUACCAGCGAUGGCAGCGAUCUGUUCGACGACUCAGAGGUGUACAACGUUUCCGACACGGAAAUGCUGCUCCAGACAGUCGACUCCAUGGAGCUGCUGAACGACGAAGAGGACGUGGCUCAGAUCAAGAGCGAACAUUCCGAGGACUUUGCCCUGCUCAGCGAGGCCGGCGACAGUGUGCACACCCAGCUGGUGAAGCUGGAGCCGGACACGGGCACCGCCAACGGCUCCUCCAGCAGCAAUAACACCAGCACCACCGGCAACACCACCACCACCACGACACCGCUGCCCACCUUCCAGCAAUUCCAUUCCAAGGAGCUCAUCAUGCAGAACAGCUCCCAGAUCCAGGCGAUAGCCAGCAUGCGCGGCAGCAUUCUGCCCUCUCCACUCCACUCGCCGCUGGCCUAUCCGACGCCACCCUCCAGUCACGAGAACAUGGCCCAGUCGUCGCCCUUCAUUGAGGAUGCGGCCGCCCAGUUCGUGGACGCCAGCAACACCUUCUUUGGAGACAAGACGGACUUCUCGCACAUCUACUUCAAGACGGACGAUGGCCAGCCCAUCGAGCAGCUGAACGAGAACGACAACGAGAAGAUCCUGAAGCUGAAGUCGGUGCUGGAGGAGAGCAGCUUCGAUCCCUCCAUCAAGGUGGAGGACCUGCUGAAUGGCACGGAGGACGACACCGAGUGCGACCUGCGCGAGUUUGCCGAAACGAAUCUCUCGUUCCUCGACGAGGACCAGGAGUUUCUCAAUGAUUCCCGCAAUGCCACCUCCCCGCUGUCGGAGUCCUUCUUCACCAGCGGCAUUGGCUCGGCGGAGGAUGUGAAGCAGGUGCUCCGAGAAGUGCUGCCCGACGAGAACAUGCAGCUGCAGCUGACCAGCGAGGAGCAGGGGGAGAACAUCAUUGAUCUCUACUACUUGCCGGGCCUGGGACUGCAGUCCCAGAUGAUGAACAACUCGGAGGACCCGAUGCUCUCCUCCUCGCCACGCGAGUUCGGUCUGCAGCGUCAGAUGGGACAGAUCCAGGCAACGACUAUGCCCCAGCCGAUGGAGCAGCAACUCCAGCAAACCACGGCCAUCUAUCAGCAGCAAGAGUCGGACCUGCAACAGCAGCCACAGCAGCAGCAACAGAUACUGCAGCAGCUACAGGAUCAGCAACAGCAGUCUCAGCAGAUCCUGGUCCCCCAGCAGUCGCUGGGCCAAUCGGUGUCCAUGCAGGCACAGGGGGGCCAGCAGCAGACAGAAUUCAUGCUGCCCCUGGUGGGGGGUCAUGGCUUUGCGGCGGUUACCAGCCAGAGCCAGUUCCUGGAUACCAGUCAGAGCACCAUGACACUGCAGCCGCUCAACAGCCUGCUCCAGCCCCUGCUGUACGGCUCUAAUGGCACAUCCACCACAAACAAUGCGGCAGUGCUCACCACCGACUGCCAGAUGAAUCCCAAUCAGGGCCAGAGCACCGCUCUCGAUGCCAGCCUGCUCUUUUCCUGCGGCGCCACAGCCCAGGCCUCUGCUACUAAUAGCAAUGGCAAUGGAAAGUCUCUGCUGGCGGCCCUGGCCACAUCGGUGCCCACACCUGUGGUAAUUGCCACUCCGCCCAGCGUGUCCAAUCUGCAGCCGCUGUCGAAUCAAACCAAUUCCAUACUGAAGCGCCGCCUGCGCUCGAACGCUCCCCAGGGGACGCAGAAGUUCUCCAAGUUCCACACCCUGUCGCCGCAUCGCUCGAAGCUGCGCAAGCCCUCCCGCACGCACUACACGCCGGCCCCCAUCCUCAAUCCGGACCGCAAGGGAACAGGCCUGUAUUGCAUUGUGCGGAAGCAGCAGGGCCAGGGCAUAUUCGAUGCCUUCGAAGAUGACUUUGGCGAUCCGGUGGGCCUGGUCGACUUCUCGGACGAGUCGAAGGUGAAUCUCGGCUCGGCGUAUCAGGCACAGAUACCCUGCUGCAAGACGUUGGAGGAGGCCGCCAGUGAGCCCAUGGGUGCGGAUAUGAUGUGGAAUCCCGAGGUGCAGGAGGACGACAAAAUCCUGAUGCGUUACAUAGAUCUCAGCAAAUCAUCGGCCGUGCCAAUGGGCAGUCAUUCCGAGGAGGUGGCCCUCCACACGCUGCUCAAGUCGCAGGGCAAUUCGGCGGCGGCGGUACUGACCCUCCUCCAGACGCAGUCCAGUGCAUUUCAAAUGAAGUGGACCGCCUUCGAGCUGGAGCAGUUCCUGCGUGGUCUGGAGAAGCACGGCAAGGACUUUGGCAAGAUUGCCAGCGAGCUUCGCACCAAGUCCUCGGGGGAGUGUGUGCAAAUGUAUUACUUCUGGAAGAAGCUCUGCGUGGACUAUAAGGUAUCGCACUUGAAGAUGGAGCCAGUGACCCACAUCGUGCCCGCCGUGGAGAAGCCCUAUGUUUGCGAGAUUGCCGACUGUUCAGCGAGCUUCAGUUCGAAGGCGGCGCUGCACGGCCAUGUUCGCAUACACGCUUUUGGCCGUAAUGCCAGCAGCAACAACAGCAACAGCAACAACAACAACAGCAGCAACAGCAACAACAGCAGCAGCAACAGUACGCAGCAUGCCCCGGCAAAUAAUGCCACAAACAGCAACCAACAAAGUUCCAACAGCUACGCAUGCGCGCCCCUGUCAACCAACAGCGGCACUAAUCCAUCAAGCAAUGCAACAUCAGCAACAGCAAAUGCAACGAAUCUUAGUGGCAACAGUGCCACCAUCAAUGGCGGUGGCAACCCAAACACAACGACAGCCACGUCCUCCUCGACUCUGACAGCCUCCAAAGUGGAAACGGGCAACACGAACGCCACUGCCCCGCCCACUGUCAAGGAGGGGGAAUUUCCCUGCAAGGUGUGCGGCAACGAGGAGUCACAGCUCGCAAAUAGAUGUAACCGGAACUGAUAUCAGAUCCACAAGUUCACACAAACAGCGCGACUAAAGACGCCAGGCAGACGCUGGCAAAUCGCCCGAGUCUUCAAUAAGGUCAAGAGUCGCAGUGCUCAUAUGAAGACGCAUCGAGUUCAGGAAUCGGAUCCGUCGCCCAAAAACCAGCAAC